UCCAUAGAAAAGCAAUUGCAAACAAAUCCUGACUGUGAGAAACACUAUCAGACAAAGUUUCUGGUUCUUUCAAGAAAUGAACUGCAAGAAAAAAAAAGGGAGUUUUAAAGACAGCCUAGAGAGGCUGCUUGUACCCUUCACCCAGUUUUUUCCAUUGGUUACACUUGAUGUAUGCAUUUGUGAGUUAUAUUCUUUUCCUUCUCCCUGAAGAACUUUUAACAUUUCUCACAAGUCAUAUUUUCUAGUGAUGAAUUCCCUCAGUUUUUGUCUAAGAAGGUCUUUAUUUAUUCUACAUGUUCAAAGGAUAGUUUUGCAGAACAUAGAGAACGGUCUGUAGUUCAGGGCCUUCUUCUCCACAGAAGCAAUCUUGACUGUCGAUCUCCAAAUUGGCCUGUCUCCCCAGAGUUUUAUAUUGAUGAUAAAACUGGCAGCUUCGGUUAUUGAGCAGAACUUAACAACAUUAAGAACCAGGAAUGAAAGUCUUUGAACUGAGCUGAUAUGCCUUCUUCUUUUACAUGGCUCAGAAUGAAUGCAGUCUACAGUCUUUCCUCCUCAUCCUCACAUCCACAGACUCUGCUUUUGCUCAGUGGUGUGGAAACAGCACAGAGCUGGAGAUCAGAACAACAGAUUUUGAAUAACUUCUCCAUCACUCUCUGGCCUACUAGAAAAUAUGGAGUGGUUCCUGCCCUAGGAGACAGGGCCCCAGGAGAAUGAUCUUCCGGGACUGGUGCACAUGUGGCCAUCUGGUGGUCAGCCCAAGAUGAGAACCCACCCUGCAAAGCAAACUCAGUCUACAGCAUUUUGAUUCUCAGAAUUGGAAGAGGAAAACAGAUUUCUUUGCCUUUGCC
rnacentral:lncRNA from 1 species